rnacentral:rRNA from 1 species
UACGGAGGGAGCAAGCGUUGUUCGGAUUUACUGGGCGUAAAGGGCGCGUAGGCGGCCACUGCAAGUCAGUUGUGAAAUCUCCGGGCUUAACCCGGAAAGGUCAACUGAUACUGCAGGGCUAGAGUGCAGAAGGGGCAACUGGAAUUCUCGGUGUAGCGGUGAAAUGCGUAGAUAUCGAGAGGAACACCUGCGGCGAAGGCGGGUUGCUGGGCUGACACUGACGCUGAUGUGCGAAAGCCAGGGGAGCGAACGGG